CUACGGGUCGCAGCAGUGGGGAAUAUUGCACAAUGGGCGAAAGCCUGAUGCAGCAACGCCGCGUGGGGGAUGACGGCCUUCGGGUUGUAAACCUCUUUUAGCAGGGAAGAAGCGAAAGUGACGGUACCUGCAGAAAAAGCACCGGCUAACUACGUGCCAGCAGCCGCGGUAAUACGUAGGGUGCAAGCGUUGUCCGGAAUUAUUGGGCGUAAAGAGCUCGUAGGCGGUUGGUCGCGUCUGCUGUGAAAACCCGAGGCUCAACCUCGGGCCUGCAGUGGGUACGGGCCAACUAGAGGGCGGUAGGGGAGAUCGGAAUUCCUGGUGUAGCGGUGGAAUGCGCAGAUAUCAGGAGGAACACCAAUGGCGAAGGCAGAUCUCUGGGCCGUAACUGACGCUGAGGAGCGAAAGCGUGGGGAGCGAACAGGAUUAGAUACCCCCGUAGUC
rnacentral:rRNA from 1 species